GGAGAGGUGUCCGAGUGGCUUAAGGAGCACGCUUGGAAAGCGUGUGUGCGGUUAUGCCGUACCAUGGGUUCGAAUCCCAUCCUCUCCGCCA
rnacentral:tRNA from 1 species